CACCAGGUUGAUUCUGCCUGACGUGGACGCUUGCCUUAAAGAUUAAGCCAUGCAAGCCAGCGAAGGUAACGGAGCGGCAAACGGCUCAGUAGGACAGGGACUUCUGACCACUAUGCAGGAUAACCUCGGUAAUCUGUGGCUAAUACUAGAGUGGGUGAGACUCUGCCCUAGCUUGGCGGUACGGUAAGUGCGUACCGUGGCGAUGACGGGUAACGGGGAAUCGGGGUUUGAUUCCGGAGAGGGAGCCUGAGAGAUGGCUGCCACGUCCAAGGACGGCAGCAGGCGCGGAAAUUACCCACUUGGAGGACCAGAGGUAGUGACGAGGCGUUAUUAAUGAGAAUAGUGUAAAAAGCUGUUUGAAAGCAACUGGAGGGCAAGUCUGGUGCCAGCAGCCGCGG
rnacentral:rRNA from 1 species